UUUUAAGAAAAAACUUCAAGCUCUGUGUAUGUGUUAAAGUAGAUACUAGACCAUAAGGUUAAUGAGAAAACAUCUAGUAAAGUAAAAAGUUAUUUUAUUUGACGAGGUCUGUAUCAACAGUAAAUUUUUUUUCUUGCUUUAGGUGUGGAUUUUAAAUAGCUUUUCAUAGCAGAAAUUUAUUUUUGCUUUUCCCAUUUCUAAGCAUAAUAUGAAAAUUUAAAUUAUCCUAAUUGCCUCUACUGAGAAACUCAUAUGGGAAAAAGUCUAAGUUGGAUGUCUAAAAAUGUCUAAUUUGAACUGGAAACAUUUUAUCUUUGAAAUGUACUGGUUCUCAGUGCAAAGUUGAACAGUAAUUUCAGAACAAGCCUUUAAGGAAAUAAAGUAUUAAAACAAAAAGGACUGGCAGUAUAACUUCACAGAAAAGUUUAAUAAAGUAACUUGCCCUUGUAUUACUCAAGUACAUAGUAGGCCCUUGAUACAUGUAGAUUAGUUCAACAUACACCUUUUAUACUUUAGUGUACCCUAAAAUGUUCAUAUAAACAAGGGGUUCUAGAUUAAAGAUAAUUUUUAAAAGGCUGCAAAAGUGAAAUCAGUAUACUAAAUAUUUGUGUACCUUAAAACAUUAAAAAAAAGCACUAAGUUUUCCAGUGAUGUUACACAGUAUUUUAAAUGGUUUAAUAAGAAAUGGUACAGCGUAUUUGUGAUGUUAGUUUAGACAAUACCUAAUGAUGAGGACCAGUGAAAUGUUAUAUACCACUGUGGAAAACCAUUCUAGGAAGAAAUUUGACAGUAUCUUGUUCUUACCCUUUGAUCAAGCAACUGUAUUGAUGUUGAUCCUAAAAAAAAUAAUUAGAAAUGUGUAUAAAUUUACAAUAGAAAAUGGUAAUCAUUAUGUCAAUGAAAUUAAAUGGCAUUAAUAGUUUAAAGACAGUACAUUCUGAAGGAAAAUAAUGCAUCAUUGAAGAUGAUCUGUGUAUUCAUAAUAACAUGGGAAAAUAUUCAUGAAAGCGUACAUGCAUCAUUUUUUAAAAAAAACUAAUUUCUGAACGUAUCUGUUCUGCACUUUGGAGGGUAAGAUCUUAAGGAAAUAAAAAUGACGCGCCGGCUCUGGGGUUAGAACUACUUCAAAUCCCGGUUUUGCUAGCUGUAGGAUUCUGAGCAAGUUCCUUUACGUCUCAGUAAUCUAGCUGUGAAUUGGGAAAAUGAGUACCUCCAUCAUGAGGUGUGGAGGUUAAAUUAAAGUGUUUAGCGCGCCGCCUAAAUAAAUGUUAACUUGUUACGAUGUCUUCCUGCAUUUCUCAGAGUAGCGGAAAAUAGGAAAUUAAAAUUCAGAAAUAGGAUGACUUAAGCGAAAGCUCCACGAGGCAAAAGGGAUUUAACCUAACUUGCCAAUUUGCCUUGUCCAAACGCUUGGGAUUUUGAUUAGGCCCGCGAGGCCGUGGUGACUUGAGCUCUACCUUGCCCCUGAGCGCGCAGAAUAUGCUCUCGCAGGGGUGGCGGCCCGGUGGGUUUGACUCCCGUAUUCCAGGGAUGUUUCACUCACCCCCCGCCCCGCCCCCGCCAAGCCAAUUAAGGACUCAGAAUCGUCCCCUGUUCUCUCCCUUGGGCGUCGCGUAAAGCUCGACCUGUGCCCAUCCGGAGCAGAGCCUACGUUCAGGAGGCGUGGAGAGUGGCGGGGGCUGCGACCACGCACUCCAUCCCUCCGCCGGCUCGCGUCACAAAGACUACAGUCCCCAGCGGGCCUCGCGAGCUCAGGAUGUCCCGCAGGCAGGGCCCGGCGGCUGCGCGGGGCUGUAGUUUCUCCCGUGCUCCGGCACAACCUUCCUUUUCUCCUCCGCGAUACAGGCGGUUACUGGCUGCUGCAGCUUCCCCCCGAUUUCCGAAAAAGGCUCCUCGCCAGUGGAGUCCGGCCCCUCGUAGGAGACGGCGCGCGACCCUGGCCAAGAGGGCGGAGCGGGGCGACGCGCUGGGCCUCGCGCGGGGUGACGACCUCGAGCACGUCGUGCGGCAGUCCCCUCGGCCGGCAGCCGGAGGGGAGGGGGCGGGGGCUGCGCACGCGCGGCGGGGCCUUGGGCGGGGCCUUGGGCGGCUGCAGCCUGCGGACAGUCCGCCGGUCCGCGGCUGUGUGGGUAGCUGCGCGGCCGGCGGGGCUGAAACGCGGGAGGUUGAUGGGGGUGGCCUCGACCUCGGCCUAAAUCUGUAGCAGAGCUUCGGCCACGCCAACGGAGAUGGUGUCCUGGGUGAGGACGAUGGGGGAGAAGCUGAAGCAGCGGCUGCGGCUGGACGUGGGACGCGAGAUCUGCCGCCAGUACCCGCUGUUCUGCUUCCUGCUGCUCUGCCUCAGCGUCGCCUCCCUGCUCCUCAACAGGUAUCUUCAUGUUUUAAUGAUCUUCUGGUCAUUUGUUGCUGGAGUUGUUACAUUCUAUUGCUCAUUGGGACCGGAUUCUCUCUUACCAAAUAUAUUCUUCACAAUAAAAUACAAACCCAAGCAGUUAGGACUUCAAGAAUUAUUUCCUCAAGGUCGUAGUUGUGCUGUUUGCGGUAAAGUGAAAUGUAAACGGCAUAGGCCUUCCUUACUACUUGAAAACUACCAGCCGUGGCUAGAUCUGAAAAUUUCUUCCAAGGUUGAUGCAUCUCUCUCAGAGGUUCUUGAAUUAGUGUUGGAAAACUUUGUUUAUCCAUGGUACAGGGAUGUAACAGAUGAUGAGUCCUUUGUUGAUGAACUGAGAAUUACAUUACGGUUUUUUGCAUCUGUCUUAAUUCGAAGGAUUCACAAGGUGGAUAUUCCAUCUAUUAUAACCAAGAAACUAUUAAAAGCAGCAAUGAAGCAUAUAGAGGUGAUAGUUAAAGCCAGUCAGAAAGUAGAAAAUACAGAGUUUUUACAGCAAGCUGCUUUAGAAGAAUAUGGUCCAGAGCUUCAUGUGGCUUUGAGGAGUCGAAGAGAUGAAUUACACUAUUUAAGGAAACUUACUGAACUGCUUUUUCCUUAUAUUUUGCCUCCUAAAGCAACAGACUGCAGAUCCCUGACCUUACUUUUAAGAGAGAUCCUUUCCGGUUCGGUGUUCCUUCCUUCUUUGGAUUUCCUAGCUGAUCCAGAUACUGUGAAUCAUUUGCUUAUCAUCUUCAUAGAUGACAGUCCACCUGAAAAAGCAACUGAACUGCCUUCCCCCUUGGUUCCAUUCUUGCAGAAAUUUGCAGAACCUAGAAAUAAAAAGCCGUCUGUGCUGAAGUUAGAAUUGAAGCAAAUCAGAGAGCAGCAAGAUCUCUUAUUUCGUUUUAUGAACUUUCUGAAACAAGAAGGAGCGGUGCAUGUAUUGCAAAUAUGUCUGACUGUGGAGGAAUUCAAUGAUAGAAUUUUACGACCAGAGUUAUCAAAUGAUGAAAUGCUUUCUCUUCAUGAAGAAUUGCAGAAGAUUUAUAAAACAUAUUGUUUGGAUGAAAGUAUAGACAAAAUUCGAUUUGAUCCCUUUAUUGUAGAAGAGAUUCAAAAAAUUGCUGAAGGCCCAUAUAUAGAUGUUGUUAAACUUCAAACUAUGAGAUGUCUUUUUGAAGCAUACGAACAUGUACUGUCUCUCUUGGAGAAUGUGUUUACUCCUAUGUUCUGCCACAGUGAUGAGUAUUUCAGGCAACUUUUAAGAGGUGCAGAAUCACCAACACGCAAUUCAAAAUUGAACAGAGGUAGCCUAAGUUUGGAUGAUUUCCGGAGCACACAGAAAAGAGGAGAAUCAUUUGGAAUCAGCAGAAUAGGUAGCAAAAUUAAAGGAGUAUUUAAAAGUACCACAAUGGAAGGAGCUAUGUUGCCUAACUAUGGGUUAGCUGAAGGUGAAGAUGACUUUAUUGAAGAAGGUAUUGUUGUAAUGGAAGAUGAUUCUCCAGUGGAAGCUGUGAGCACACCUAAUACUCCCCGAAACCUUGCUGCAUGGAAAAUUAGCAUUCCAUAUGUAGACUUUUUUGAAGAUCCUUCCUCUGAAAGGAAAGAGAAAAAGGAGAGAAUACCUGUGUUUUGUAUUGAUGUCGAAAGAAAUGAUAGAAGAGCAGUUGGGCAUGAGCCUGAACAUUGGUCUGUCUAUAGAAGAUAUCUAGAAUUCUAUGUACUUGAAUCAAAACUAACAGAAUUUCAUGGCACAUUUCCUGAUGCCCAGCUUCCUUCCAAGAGGAUCAUUGGCCCCAAAAAUUAUGAAUUCUUAAAGUCAAAGAGAGAAGAGUUUCAGGAAUAUUUACAGAAACUUCUACAGCAUCCAGAACUGAGUAAUAGUCAACUUCUGGCAGAUUUUCUCUCCCCCAAUGGUGGAGAAACACAGUUUCUUGAUAAGAUACUACCAGAUGUAAAUCUUGGGAAAAUUAUAAAGUCUGUUCCUGGAAAACUAAUGAAAGAGAAAGGUCAGCAUUUGGAACCUUUCAUCAUGAAUUUCAUUAAUUCUUGUGAAUCUCCAAAGCCUAAACCAAGUAAACCGGAACUGACCAUUCUCAGCCCUACUUCAGAAAACAACAAGAAGCUUUUCAGUGAUCUGUUUAAGAAUAAUGCAAACCGUGCUGAGAAUACAGAAAGAAAGCAAAAUCAGAAUUAUUUUAUGGAGAUGAUGACUGUAGAAGGAGUCUAUGAUUACCUGAUGUAUGUAGGACGGGUGGUUUUCCAAGUUCCUGACUGGCUUCAUCAUCUCUUAAUGGGAACUCGAAUCCUGUUUAAAAACACCCUGGAAAUGUAUACUGACUACUAUCUUCAUUGUAAACUAGAACAGCUAUUUCAGGAGCACCGUUUGGUGUCACUCAUAACACUUCUCAGAGAUGCUGUAUUCUGUGAAAACACUGAACCUCGCUCUCUCCAAGAUAAGCAAAAACGAGCAAAACAGACUUUUGAAGAAAUGAUGAAUUAUAUUCCAGGAACUCAUGAAGGAUCUGAAAGGAUCACUUACUUUUGUCCAUUAUGCGUCAUGCAUCUUAAUUGGAAAAUUCUAUGUAGUAUUGGUGAAUUAGGGGAUUCAUAAAGAUCCGUAUUGGGCCACAUAUCUUGAAAAUAUCAAGGAUCUACUAUGCUUAUUAUAAAUUGAAUUUGGCCUUUGCCUUGUAGGGUUAGAUUUAUCUCCUAGAAGCAAACAUAAGAUCUGAUAGUCAAGUGUAUUGGUGAAGAAGCCAAGUAUGAAAGCAUCAGACUUCUAUUUGAUGGCUUACAACAGCCAGUUCUCAAUAAGCAGCUGACUUACGUUUUAUUGGACAUUGUGAUACAAGAACUAUUUCCAGAGCUCAAUAAGGUAA